GUGAGUAAAUUAUCAGAAAAUUUUAAUUCUGAAGUAAACUAAUCCUUUUACAGUGUGAUACCCCCAUAAGCUUCCUUUGUAAAUGCACUACUGUACACAUGCUUUUUAUUGUUUUUACAAACUUGGGGACGAGUUAAAAAUUAUUUUCAGUUGUAAUCAACAGCAUGUCACAGACACAUUAGAGACUGUAUUGUAUUUAACUUUUAAUGAUAAACACAUAUUGAGUUUUUAACUGUAAUUAUUAGGUGCAUUGGGGGUGAAUACAAGAUAUUAUUAGUCAUCAUAAAACAUGAUCAAAAACAGUCUCUGCCAGCUUAUUCAAAUGUUUGGUAUUUUAUGAUAUUUUAUCAGAAUUGUGGCCAGUGUUAUAUAAAAAAAAAAAGACAAAUUGCUGCAUACUGUAUAUAAGCUACAUAUCCCAGAAUAGAGUGAAGUUUCAGAAACAUCCAUCCAUUUUCUGUCUGUUCCAGCAUCUCAGGCCAUUAAAAAGAGAAACAUCCUGAACAGAUAACCAGUCCAUUCCUGGGCUAUCACACACACACACACGCACAAUUAAGUGUCCCCAAUUCACCUGUCUUGCAUUUCUUUGGAUUGUAAGGGAAACCUAAGUACAAAGUGGUGUCUCAUAAACGUGCAAACUUCACAUGUCCUCCUGGCUCAACCGUGAAUCAAACCAGAGACCUUCUUGCUGAUGAGGCGACAGUGCUACCCACUAAGCUACUGUGCCACCUAUAACAUUUUAUGCAUAAACAAACUUCCCUUAGAAGGUGGAGUCUCAUAAACUGCCUUUCACCUAACUUAAAAAGGAAAGAGAAAAUGACAAGACCCAAGACAAGAGCAACAUCAAGGUAAAGCAAUCUAAUGAUAUAGUAAUUAUUUUCUUCAGAUUGUAGAACAGAUCUGUUUGAUACUGCUAAUCUGAAUGAACUAGAGGUUGGGAGGAAAACACUAUUAUUUGAUAUUAUACAAUAUGUGGAAUACAAAUACCAAUACAACCUUAGAUUGAACCUUUAGAUCUUAUGUAAUGUGAUGAAUCAAAUGAACAUGCUUCUUCCAAAGUUUUAGCAGAAAAAAGUGAUGUUGCCUGUCUUUUUUUUUUUUAGGUUGUGAAUUGUUUAGGAUUUUUUUUUUAAAAAAAACAAAAAAAAAACAAUCACCAACACUGUUUGGUUAACUUCCCAUCAUGUGAGUUCUGUGCAACUCUUCUAGUAAAUCCUGAUUUUCAGCUCAGAGAAUGUAAACAGUGACCUUUUUUCUGUUGGUUGCUCUUUGGCUGACUGCAAAGUAACCAAAUGUAACACAAUGUAACUGAUAAUAGUAUAGUUGUAAAAGUACAAUAGCUUGUUAGUAACCAAGCUCUAACUAAAUUGAAAUCGCUAAGUGCAUCAGAUUUGAAACAUAAAAUUUCUUACACUUCCAUCCCAACACAUAUUUCUCUCAGUGUGUUUAAAGAUGCCUGAACGUAAUGAUGUGACGAGCUCUCAGCAGAAGCCAUUGUCACCAUUUGACCAGUACGUGGUGUCUAAUUUCAUGAUGAUCAGGCCGAUGAUUAUGGGGGUAAAUCAAACUGCUCCACUUAAAGUUUUUUUUUUUUUUUUUCUGCUACAUGCUAAUUUUAGGUCCAUAACGAAACAUUGACCAUCUUGUUUUAUAUCUUACAGGUUUUGGAAAUAUUAUUAGGCAUAGUGGUUUUCAGCUUAACAACCUGGAAAGGUUUAUUUUACAUUCUCUGGGCAUCUCCCAUUGUAAGUCAUUUAUUUCAUCAUCAGGAAAACAUUAUGCAUUGAACAAAUACUGAAUAAUGUUCAUUUUCUUUACUGUAGUCAGUUUUAACUGGAUCUGUGACGGCGUCAGCUGCACGCACAUGUAACAAACACUUGGUUUGUCUUAAUAUCUUGAGUAUUUUACAUUUCAUUUUAUCUGAAUGAAAGUAAUAACAUUAUAAUACAAUGCAUUGUUUAAUGCAUUUUUGAGUCUUUCUCAUUUCAGAUCAGAACUUCACAAUCUCUAAACUACAUCAAUCCCAUUACAGCUGCUAUCUCCAUUCCCUUUCAUGCCUUUGCAAAUGAUGGUGUGACUCACAUUGUUUUGAUGGUCUGUGAUGCUCUGGUCAUCGUCAUCUCUAUUAUUGUUGCCUCAACUUCCUGUGAGUGCUGCAGGACAAAGCGAAGACCACCUUGCAGCACUCGAGUUUAUCGAAUUAAUAUCCCUCGUACUAAUGUGACUGUCAACAAUAUUGUGCUUCUGCCCCAACCAAACUCUGCUACAACAGCAACAGUAUUCACUUCAGUCCAAUAUGGUCCACCACCUCAACAUGGUCCUUCCUGUACCAGACUAUAAGGGGUCGCCACAGCAGAAUUAUCCGCACAUUGGAUUUCCUGUCGCAAGACACCCACACACACUCCUACAGCCGAUGUAGCAUAUCCAACUCAUCUAACCUGCAUGUCUUUGGACUCUGGGGGAAACCAGCUCUGACGCAGGGAGAACAUGCAAACUCCACACAAAAAGGGACCUUCUGUUUUGUGAGGAAACAGUGUUACCCAUUGAGCCACCUCUUCUCUAUAAAAUCUCUAUAAGAUUCACUGCCAGUCAUUUUUAAAUCAUAGAUCUUACUAUGUUUUGAUCUUCUUGAAAGGGUAUUUUACAAUGUAGCGUGUCUUUUGUUAAUCUUGAUGACAAUAUUUAUAAUAAACUCUAUACAUUUACAUUUUGCUGUGAUCUCUCUGCUGUGUUCACAAUCUCUGAGCGCUAAAUGUAAAUGGGAAUAAAAUGUAAAAUUAGCCUAACUGUAACUCAUGUUUAAAAGCGAAAUAUUUCAUAAAAUAAGAAUGUGCAGGUGUGUGUAGUAUCCAUAUACUCCAGCAGAGGGAGUAUUAAAUAAACAACAAAGCAUCACUUUU